UACGAGGGGAGCAAGCGUUGUUCGGAUUUACUGGGGCGUAAAGGGCGCGUAGGCGGCGUGACUAGUCACUUGUGAAAUCUCCGGGCUUAACUCGGAACGGUCAAGUGAUACUGUCGUGCUAGAGUACGAAGGGGCAACUGGAAUUCUCGGUGUAGCGGGUGAAAAUGCGUAGAUAUCGAGAGGGAACACCCUGCGGCGAAAGGCGGGGUUGCUGGGGCUGAUACUGACGUUGAUG
rnacentral:rRNA from 1 species